UACGAAGGGGGCUAGCGUUGCUCGGAAUCACUGGGCGUAAAGGGUGCGUAGGCGGGUCUUUAAGUCAGGGGUGAAAUCCUGGAGCUCAACUCCAGAACUGCCUUUGAUACUGAAGAUCUUGAGUUCGGGAGAGGUGAGUGGAACUGCGAGUGUAGAGGUGAAAUUCGUAGAUAUUCGGAAGAACACCAGUGGCGAAGGCGGUGAGCUGGGCAGUUGCUGACACUGAGGCGCGACAGCGUGGGGAGCAAACAGG
rnacentral:rRNA from 1 species